rnacentral:lncRNA from 1 species
GUUGUGAACUUCAGAACUUGUGAUAUGUUCUGCCUAUUACAUUACAUUUUACAUAUAUGAAUGGUGAAUCUGAUAUAUAAUGCUUUGCUUGCUCGGUUGCUCCUUGCUUGUUGGUUGCUGCUGCUAACAUCUUGUCAUCUUCUCUAUGAUGUAUUUAGCUGUUGCACAAUGCAUUGGAGGGAGACGAUCAGAGUAGAACAUACAAAGAGGCAGGGGCAACAUAUUGGAGAGAGAACAAGGUUAUAAACUUAUAAUUGUACCUCCAGUUUACAUUCUAGCACUUUUUUAUGUCAAACUGCUCUUUUUUGCCCAUAUCCGUACAAUUAUAUAGAAAACGCAUAAUUGCGCCUAAUCACGCCUAAUCACGCCUAAGCUAGAAAAGCGCAAGUAGGUGGCCAAACGCAUAAUUAACGCCUAGCGCUUUCUCAAACUUUGUUAAUCAGACACACAAAGUUAAAUUGCAGAGCAGAAAAUAUUAAGGAACUAAAUGGCACAUGCUAGGAAAAUAGGAAGGCACAUCAAGGAGGUAUAUAUCAUAAUUAAUAGGGAGAGUAUUUUUUUCAAAGUAGAGAGAGGGGUCCUUCAUUACAAUUGUUCAUUCAAUUCUUGGAUCGUUUGAGCAAACAAAUCUGAUGAAACAAUACAAUAAUAUUAACAUGUAUACUCACAUUAUAUCCUCUUAUGAACAUUUACUCGGACAUUAACUCUCAUGAUUAUUUGAGUAAACAUAUAUAACAUCAGCGACCAAAGAGACGUGCACCUUAUAGAAUGCAUGUCGUGUAGGCAAACAAACCAAACAGAUACAUUACUUAUACUUAGGACAGUAAAUUUGCGUGCUUUGGUCGUCACUGAUUCCAUACAUAUAAAUCAAAAAAGGAAUAAUGCCACUGUUUGACGUUUGGUAUGAAAGGUGAACAGGGAAGCAUUCUCUUCAGGUAACCGGUGGUCUAACUGAACAAUUUUACGAAGUGGGGAAUUGAGGAACCAAUCCUUUGGUUCAGAAUCAUCUCUUACUAUUUUAGUCAAGGCACAUAGAGAACUAAAAUGCAGCUAUCAUUAAAUUCCCCACCAGCCACAAUGGCAACUACAGUUGGCCGUCUAUAUGAACCAGUUAUAAUCACUAAAAUAUCAUGGAUCCACAACAAACCAAGAAAGAGAUACCUCCAAAUGGAGGAGGCAAUCUCAACAAGACAGUUCGAAGGAAAUAACACAUCAAUACUACUAAGAAAACGAAGAUUGGUAGCUGCAGUGCAUGUAUUACAGUAGUACAUUGAGCACCUGAGACAGUAGCCGAAUCCGAAGGAGAAGUAGCCACACACCCAGCAACGACCCUGGCACCAAACUCUAACCUGGCAGUACUAUAAAACACAUUGACACUCAAUUCACAGCACAUAAAUAAUUAAUACAUAGUCACAAGUCAAAGAUAUAUUUCAAUGUUACCAAAGCCAUUUUCAGAAGCAAAUACCAGCACUUUAAGUAUACUGGAACAAAAAUAAACCAAAACUAAAAAAACUACUAACUAAUGUGGUCGAAAAACACCGGAUACUGAUCUAUGAAAUGUACCAACCUUAUUUUACUAAAUCUUCCACUACCAGAUGUGAUGUUAAAUAUCAAUUGAUAAUUACUAAUUUGUAUCUGCAAAGUAUCAUGAUAAAAAUGAAAUACCAGAUCAGUUAGAGAACACAAUUAUGCAAAAUACUGAUAAGAAAUCUGUAAAUAUUUGUGAUCGGUGUAUUUUUAAAAUAAAGCAAAUGCACCAUCUUAUCUUUCUUAUGUAGGUCAUGCCAGUUUUAAGCGAACUCUUUGACAUUUUCCAUAUAAAAAAAUGUAAGUGCAACCUUUCUAUACGACUGGCCAAUGUAAAAAGCGGUCAAUAAUCAAGAAGUAAUGAAACAUCGGUCAUUUCAGUUCACAACCAUAUGGCAUGGCACUAAUAGAAAUGGAGAUAGGUAACUGUUUCAAUGCCACCAUACCUUCAGAUUUCGGAGUUAUAGGGAACAUCCUACAGGGAUAAAUAUAGCCUCAUAAAAAGAACAUCCAGUCUUUACUUAGGGUAGAUUAAUCCCCAUUUGUAUUGUUAAUUGCAUGUAUUCUUCCUUUGUCUUCCUCUUGUGCUCAUUCACAGAUAAGCGCAUUGAUCAUGUAGAAUUUGUAAUGAUGUGCAACCUGCCAGCAUGCAACAAUUAUAUCAGCAUUAGAAAGUCAGGGGCAUUGGCAAACAACAAAUAGGUUAGGGAGAAAAAAGUUGACACGCAAAUUUUCAGUGCAAAAAGAAAUUGAUCCAACCAUGACUUCUACUGGUAAUGCUAAUAUAAAAUCUGAUAUAGCAGAAAGUAGUUUUAGCCUAGAAAGACAAGAUAGAUCAUAGUAGAAAUAUUUAAAAGCGGCAAAUCCACCUAUUAUAAUGCUCAGACCUAAGCUAAAUAGGACUAAAAUCUGGCUCCUAUUAUAAUGCUCAACCUAACCUGAAUAAACUAUAACUCACUCACUAAAUUGCACACAUAUACAACAAUCAUACAAUGCAUGCACCACAGGCAGAGCUCAGAUUAUAUAAACGACUGCAUCAUACUGACAGCACACUACUCUAGCUACACUCCAAUGAAUAUUUUUUUACAAAUCAUAUCUGCAAUGACAUUGGCUUGUUUGAUAUCCCCAACAGCACCACACGUGCAAGCAGUACCAACAAACACAUCAAUAGGUUGCUUCUAGGACAUAGCUAAAGGUACAAAAAAUCAGAGAAGGAACAAAAAUCACAUUUGUAUUCCAGAAAAAAAACAAGCAAGGAAGAAAAGGAGGCCACAAAAAUACAAGCAAGGAAUAAUACUCUUGGACUCUAUCUAGUCUUCCGACAAUAAGAGUACAAGAAACAGGCACACCCAUUGACCAGCCUGCACACCAACAGGAACAACAAGCAGACAUAGACUGAGUACAACAGCAGCUCCAGACAGGCAAGCUAGGCAAACCACAUGGCCGCAAAAACAUAUGCCUAGGCCUAGAAAGCAGAGAAGAAGAGGAGAAAGGGGCAGUGAUUACGAGUCGAACGGCUAGUCUAGACUAGUCGCUCGACUAGUCUACGAGUCGCAGAGUGGAUGUCGACUCAUUUUCUCGUGUAGACUACAAAUACGAGUCGAGCCGUGGAUGGACUAGUCGACGACUAGUCUGGACUAGUCGACAUAUAUGAGUCGAGCGACUCAAAAAAGAGAGCUGCCUCAGCUGGGACGAGGCGCCGCCAGCACCCACUGCCCUGCCGCCGCCGCCACCCACCGCAGGGACGGCGGAUGGCGCAGCCAGGUGCGGCGGCCGGCCGGAGCUCGUGCUCAGGCGGCGGCCAUGGCCGUGACCCGUAGGGGCACGCGGCCUUGAGACGGGAGAGAAGGAAGAGAGAGAGAGAGGAGAGGAAAGGAGGAGCCAUGGCGGUGGUCGGCGGGCUCGCCGGCGGCAGCGGCCGGGACCGGCGGAAGGCGGCAGGAGGCGCGGGUCGCGUGCGCGCAUGCUCUCGUGCGUGAUGGCGCUGGCGGCGGCGAUUGGAGAGGUCGGGAGCUAGGGUUCCAGUGGCUGGGGGCUAAGUAGGCUGGCCAUUUGGGCCCAAAUGGGCCAGCUGGGGGGUGAUGCAUGGUGCUGGGCUAGUAUUUAGACAGUGGCUGGUCCUAUUCCAUACCCACUUGGGCCCAGAACACUGCAUAGCUCAAUGAUUUAGACAGUGGCUGGUUUUAUUGCAUACUGUACUGUUAGUAACUUAGUAUAUACUACAUACUACCACUAGGUAUUAGUAGCUGAGUACUACAGUACCAUGUCGACUAGUCUAGCACUAGUCUAGACUAGUCUCGAUUAGUCUAUGAGUCUCUACCUCGAAACGACUCGUCGACUUGUCGACUCGUAAACCUUGGAAAGGGGUCGACCUGCAAAGCACCGGACGAAGACCCAACAGACUGGCACAGAUCGAACGACGAACCGACAAGAACAGCGAGCACGUGCGAACGAUGGACGAACCUGCAAGAAAACAAAACUCAAAAUUACAGAUGAGCUGCAGGUAACCAGAAUUUAGACGGACAAAACAAACAAGUACCUACAGAAGAACACAUCAACAUAUCUGGCAAGAUCCCAAAAUCGGCGGCUGGCCGUGCAACUGCAACUGGGGAGGCAAAUAGCAAUAACGGAAGUUACUUCGAGUUUGUUCCUUCAGAUUAGUGUUAAAGUAUGUCAAGAUUUAACUGACGCAAAGUAAAAUUGUCAAUGAAGGUAAAAGUGGCUGAAUGAAUGAAAGUAGCUAGGUUUUGCAAGCAUAAAGUUCCUUGCCAGGAAAUUAAACCCACAAUACUUGGAUAUUUGUUGGCACUUAUCGAAUAUUAACAGAAGUUCCUCACAGAGAUACUACAAUAGUAAUCCUAGAACAGUUUCUGCCAAAUAAAUUCUAAACCUCAGCUAGCAACAUAUUUGUGAAGCGCAACUGAAAGCUUGUUUAGAAAAAUAAAUCUAUAGCAAUAUAAAAAGACCCAAAG